rnacentral:hammerhead_ribozyme from 1 species
ACCCAGAUGACCAGUCCCUAGUAGAACGAAACGCACGUCCUGGAU